rnacentral:rRNA from 1 species
UACGAAGGGUGCAAGCGUUACUCGGAAUUACUGGGCGUAAAGGGUGCGUAGGUGGUCGUUUAAGUCCGUUGUGAAAUCCCUGGGCUCAACCUGGGAAUGGCAGUGGAUACUGGACGGCUAGAAUGCGGUAGAGGGUAGUGGAAUUCCCGGUGUAGCAGUGAAAUGCGUAGAGAUCGGGAGGAACACCAGUGGCGAAGGCGGCUACCUGGACAACUCCUGACACUGAUGCACGAAAGCUAGGGGAGCAAACAGG